rnacentral:rRNA from 1 species
GGAUGAACUGUGGAUAGCGGAGAAAUUCCAAUCGAACUCGGAGAUAGCUGGUUCUCCUCGAAAUAGCUUUAGGGCUAGCCUUGAGGUAAAACAUGUGGGGGUAGAGCACUGAAUGAUUUAGGGGCCAAACCAGGUUACCGACAUCUAUCAAACUGCGAAUACCAUGUGGAAGUACUCAGGAGUCAGACUGCGGGAGCUAAGUUCCGUGGUCAAAAGGGAAAGAGCCCAGACCGACAAUUAAGGUCCCAAAGAGAUAGUUAAGUGGAAAACGAUGUGAAAAUGCAAAGACAACCAGGAUGUUGGCUUAGAAGCAGCCAUACAUUAAAAGAGUGCGUAACAGCUCACUGGUCGAGUGAAUUUGCGCGGAAAAUUACCGGGGCUAAACUAUCCACCGAAAUUACGGAUUGCAGUACAUUUAACAAUGUAUGCGGAAAGAGAAAAGAAGUAUAUAUUGUUAAGUGUACUGUAGUGGUAGAGGAGCAUUCUGUAGUAGGAAGAAGCUAAAGUGAGAGCAUUAGUGGACGAGACAGAAGAGAGAAUGCUGGAAUAAGUAGCGAGAGCAAGGUGAGAAUCCUUGCCGUCGAAAGUCUAAGGUUUCCUGGGGAAGGUUCGUCCGCCCAGGGUAAGUCGGGACCUAAGGAGAGGCCGAGAAGGCGUAUCUGAUGGACAGCAGGUUGAAAUUCCUGCACUACCGAUACUUUAAAAAACGUCAAGGGACGCAGGAGAGGAAGGAAAGCGAGGAAGAGGAAAGACUCGUAUCGAAAGAUAUAGUGAAAAAAUGAAGUAACGAAUUUCCAAGAAUCACACUGACGAGAAAAGCUUGAUGACAUUAAGUAAAGGUACCCGUACCGCAAACCGACACAGGUAGAUGAGGAGAGGAUCCUAAGACGAACGGGAGAAGCAUUGUUAAGGAACUCGGCAAAAUGACCCCGUAACUUCGGGAGAAGGGGAACCUAGGUAAAACUAGGUCGCAGAGAAAAGGCCCAAGCAACUGUUUAACAAAAACACAGGUUUCUGCUAAAUCGAAAGAUGAAGUAUAGGAGCUGACGCCUGCCCAGUGCUGGAAGGUCAAGGGGAGAUGUUAGGAGAAAUUCGAAGCAUAGAACCAAAGCCCCAGUGAACGGCGGCCGUAACUAUAACGGUCCUAAGGUAGCGAAAUUCCUUGUCAGGUAAGUUCUGACCCGCACGAAAGGCGUAAUGAUUUGGGCACUGUCUCGACAAUGUACCCGGCGAAAUUGUAGUACUAGUGAAGAUGCUAGUUACCUGCGACAAGACAGAAAGACCCCAUGGAGCUUUACUGUAGUUUGAUAUUGGGUUUUGGUAAUUUAUGUACAGGAUAGGUGGGAGACAGAGAAGGAUGUGCGUCAGCAUAUCUGGAGUCAACGUUGGGAUACCACUCUUAAGUUAUUGAAAUUCUAACUUGUGAUCAUAAACUGGUCAGAGGACAAUGUCAGACGGGCAGUUUGACUGGGGCGGUCGCCUCCAAAAGAGUAACGGAGGCGCCCAAAGGUUCCCUCAGUGCGGACAGAAAUCGCACAAAAGAGUGUAAAGGCAGAAGGGAGCUUAACUGGAAGAUAGACAUAUCGAGCAGAUACGAAAGUAGGGCUUAGUGAUCCGGUGGAAUUGAAUGGAAAAGCCAUCGCUCAACGGACAAAAGUUACCCUGGGGAUAACAGGCUUAUCUCCCCCAAGAGUUCACAUCGACGGGGAGGUUUGGCACCUCGAUGUCGGCUCAUCGCAUCCUGGAGCGGAAGUACGUUCCAAGGGUUGGGCUGUUCGCCCAUUAAAGCGGUACGCGAGCUGGGUUCAGAACGUCGUGAGACAGUUCGGUCCUUAUCUGUCGCAGGCGGAAGAUAUUUGAAGGGAGCUGUCCUUAGUACGAGAGGACCAGGAUGGACAUACCGAUGGUUUAUCAGUUGUCACACCAGUGGCAUGGCUGAGUAGCCAAGUAUGGAAGGGAUAAACGCUGAAAGCAUCUAAGUGUGAAGCCCACCCUAAGAUAAGAUAUCUCAUACCGUAAGGUAGUAAGAUUCCAUAAAGACUAUGUGGUUGAUAGGUUGGAGGUGUAAGUACAGUAAUGUAUUGAGCUGACCAAUACUAAUAAAUCGAGGGCUUAACCA